rnacentral:rRNA from 1 species
AUAUCAGUAAGCGGAGGAAAAGAAACUAACCAGGAUUCCCCUAGUAACGGCGAGUGAAGCGGGAACAGCUCAAUUUUUGAAAUCUCACAGGUUUCCUGUGCGAAUUGUAGUUUCAAGAAACGUUUUCGGGGGCAACUUGGGUGCAAGUCCGUUGGAACGCGGUGCCAGAGAGGGUGAGAGCCCCGUUGGAUCCGAAGUUUGCUCCUGUACGAUACGUCUUCUAAGAGUCGGAUAGUUUGGGAAUGCUGUCCAAAAUGGGUGGUAAAUAUCAUCUAAAGCUAAAUAUUGGCGAGAGACCGAUAGCGCACAAGUA